UACGGAGGGUGCGAGCGUUGUCCGGAAUCACUGGGCGUAAAGGGCGCGUAGGCGGCCUGAUAAGUAGGGGGGUGAAAUCCUGAGGCUUAACCUCAGGGCUGCCUUCUAAACUGUCGGGCUCGAGCACAGUAGAGGCAGGUGGAAUUCCCGGUGUAGCGGUGGAAUGCGUAGAGAUCGGGAAGAACAUCAGUGGCGAAGGCGGCCUGCUGGGCUGUUGCUGACGCUGAGGCGCGACAGCGUGGGGAGCAAACAGG
rnacentral:rRNA from 1 species